rnacentral:rRNA from 1 species
UACGGGGGGGGUAAGCGUUGUUCGGAAUUACUGGGCGUAAAGGGCUCGUAGGCGGCCAACUAAGUCAGACGUGAAAUCCCUCAGCUUAACUGGGGAACUGCGUCUGAUACUGGAUGGCUUGGAUUCGGGAGAGGAAUGCGGAAUUCCAGGUGUAGCGGUGAAAUGCGUAGAUAUCUGGAGGAACACCGGUGGCGAAGGCGGCAUCCUGGACCGGCAUUGACGCUGAGGCGCGAAAGCGUGGGGAGCGAACAGG